rnacentral:misc_RNA from 1 species
AUAGAUGCAAAGGUGGAGGAGGUAGAGGCUACGGCCAUAGUUGUGGAACAAUGGGUGGCCUUGGUUGUGGCUUAAGAUACUUGGCUACCCUCCUCCCUGAAACACCCAACUACCCAUCUCUUUUUGUUCUUUGGCCAAACCCACUACCAACAACAUAACAAGCGAACCAGCAACCCCCAACGAUUUUGACGCACUUCAUAUACUCGGGUCAACUAUAAAGUAGCAGCAACAACAGAAGAAGAAGAAGAAGAAGAAAAAGAAG